UACGUAGGGUGCAAGCGUUGUCCGGAAUCAUUGGGCGUAAAGCGCGCGUAGGUGGCCAUUUAAGUCCGCUGUGAAAGUCAAAGGCUCAACCUUUGAAAGCCGGUGGAUACUGGAUGGCUAGAGUACGGAAGAGGCGAGUGGAACUCCUGGUGUAGCGGUGGAAUGCGCAGAUAUCAGGAGGAACACCAAUAGCGAAGGCAGCUCGCUGGGACGUUACUGACACUGAGGCGCGAAAGCGUGGGGAGCGAACAGG
rnacentral:rRNA from 1 species